rnacentral:rRNA from 1 species
UCGAGAGGUGAAAGACCUCGGCAUACUGCUCAGUAACACGUGGUUAACCUGCCCUAAGGUGAAGCAUACUCCCGGGAAACUGGGGCUAAUACUUCAUAGUGGAUAUGUCCUGGAAUGGUAUAUCCUCGAAAGAUCCGUCGCCUUAGGAUGGGACUGCGUCCGAUUAGGUUGUUGGCGGGGUAACGGCCCACCAAGCCAUUGAUCGGUACGGGUUGUGGGAGCAAGAUCCCGGAGAUGGAUUCUGAGACAUGAAUCCAGGCCCUACGGGGCGCAGCAGGCGCGCAAACUUUACAAUGCGAGCAAUCGUGAUAAGGAAACCCUGAGUGCCUGUCGAUGCAGGCUGUUCAUAUAUCUAAAUCAUAUGUGAAGAAAGGGCAGGGCAAGACCGGUGCCAGCCGCCGCGGUAAUACCGGCUGCUCGAGUGAUGGCCACUAUUACUGGGUUUAAAGCGUCCGUAGCUUGACUGUUAGGUCCCUUGGGAAAUCUUCACGCUCAACGUGAAGGCGUCUAAGAGAUACCGGCAGUCUUGGAACUGGGAGAGGUAAACCGUACUUCGGGGGUAGGAGUGAAAUCUUGUAAUCCUCGAGGGACGACCUAUGGCGAAGGCAGUUUACCAGAACAGCUUCGACAGUGAGGGACGAAAGCUGGGGGAGCAAACGGGAUUAGAUACCCCGGUAGUCCCAGCCGUAAACAAUGUGCGUUAGGUGUGUCGGUAACCACGCGUUACUGAUGCGCCGAAGAGAAAUCGUGAAACGCACCACCUGGGAAGUACGGUCGCAAGGCUGAAACUUAAAGGAAUUGGCGGGGGGAGCACCACACAGGUGGAGCCUGCGGU